rnacentral:rRNA from 1 species
UACAGAGGUCUCAAGCGUUGUUCGGAUUCAUUGGGCGUAAAGGGUGCGUAGGCGGCGCGGUAAGUCGGGUGUGAAAUCUCGGAGCUUAACUCCGAAACUGCAUUCGAUACUGCCGUGCUUGAGGACUGGAGAGGAGACUGGAAUUUACGGUGUAGCGGUGAAAUGCGUAGAUAUCAGGAGGAACACCAACGGCGAAGGCAGCUAGCUGGACGAGAUCCGACGCUCAGGCUCGAAAGUAUGGGGAGCAAAAAGG